rnacentral:rRNA from 1 species
CGUAGGGCGCGAGCGUUGUCCGGAUUUAUUGGGCGUAAAGAGCUCGUAGGCGGCUUGUCGCGUCGUCCGUGAAAACCUGCGGCUCAACUGCAGGCUUGCGGUCGAUACGGGCAGGCUGGAGUUCGGUAGGGGAGACUGGAAUUCCUGGUGUAGCGGUGAAAUGCGCAGAUAUCAGGAGGAACACCGAUGGCGAAGGCAGGUCUCUGGGCAUUUAACUGACGCUGAGGAGCGAAAAGCAUGGGGGAGCGAACAGG